UACGGGGGGGGCAAGCGUUGUUCGGAAUUACUGGGCGUAAAGGGCUCGUAGGCGGCCAACUAAGUCGGAUGUGAAAUCCCCAAGCUUAACUUGGGAACUGCAUCCGAUACUGGAUGGCUUGAAUCCGGGAGAGGGAUGCAGAAUUCCAGGUGUAGCGGUGAAAUGCGUAGAUAUCAGGAGGAACACCGGUGGCGAAGGCGGGUCUCUGGGCCGAUACUGACGCUGAGGAGCGAAAGCGUGGGGAGCGAACAGG
rnacentral:rRNA from 1 species